UGCCUUUAUGUGUUGCCCAUCCAUUGCUCUCCUCAAUGAAUGUGGUGUCAAAAAAGGCAUACAUCAAAUCUUGGGUCGGCCUUAGCAGGGUUAUUCAAUGGUGGCCUUGUUCUAAGUUCUAUACCAAGAACAUUG